GUGGGGAAUCUUGCGCAAUGGGCGAAAGCCUGACGCAGCCAUGCCGCGUGAAUGAUGAAGGUCUUAGGAUUGUAAAAUUCUUUCACCGGGGACGAUAAUGACGGUACCCGGAGAAGAAGCCCCGGCUAACUUCGUGCCAGCAGCCGCGGUAAUACGAAGGGGGCUAGCGUUGCUCGGAAUUACUGGGCGUAAAGGGAGCGUAGGCGGACAUUUAAGUCAGGGGUGAAAUCCCGGGGCUCAACCUCGGAAUUGCCUUUGAUACUGGGUGUCUUGAGUAUGAGAGAGGUGUGUGGAACUCCGAGUGUAGAGGUGAAAUUCGUAGAUAUUCGGAAGAACACCAGUGGCGAAGGCGACACACUGGCUCAUUACUGACGCUGAGGCUCGAAAGCGUGGGGAGCAAACAGGAUUAGAUACCCCGGUAGUCC
rnacentral:rRNA from 1 species